UACGGAGGGUGCAAACGUUGCUCGGAAUCAUUGGGCGUAAAGCGCACGUAGGCGGUUCGCUAAGUCGGAUGUGAAAGCCCCGGGCUCAACCCGGGAAGUGCAUUCGAAACUGGCGGGCUUGAGUAUGGAAGAGGGUCGCGGAAUUCCCGGUGUAGAGGUGAAAUGCGCAGAUAUCGGGAAGAACACCCGUGGCGAAGGCGGCUCUCUGGGACGGUACCGACGCUGAGACGCGAAAGCGUGGUGAGCGAACAGG
rnacentral:rRNA from 1 species